CCAGGCCUGUGAAGCUUCUCUUGGAGGCUCAGCACCCAGAUUUGAGCUCCUGGCUUCCCAGCUGGGGGUGGAGGGUGGAAAAGUGACCCAGGCUCUGUGCUCCCAUACUGACCGUCCAUCAACCUGGAGACGCCUUUGGAAAGUUUUGGCCCAGACGUCGCAAAGGCUUGCAGAUGAUCCAGCUGGAAUUUUCGGCAAAGGCAAAGGAACUGACAUUGGGGGAGUGAUUACUGCGUGCCCGACCCCGUGGGAGACGUUGAAAUAGGAAAGUUUGAAAAUGGAGAAAUGCACCAAGAAAAUUAAAAUCACCUGUAUCCUUGCCACCCAGAAAAAUACACAGAAGUGAGGAAACUGAGACACUUAAGAAAACUGAGGAUUGAAGUUAUGCAGCUGGAAAAAUGGAUUUGAGGUGCAUGGAGAUCCUUUGAAACUAAAAAUCCUUCUAUACAAGACUCAAGUCAGGCUUCUGGUUAAACAAAGUAGGGUUAGGAUGUUUUUCUCUUUUACUGUCCCUCGAUAUGUAUCCUAGCCAACAAAAAAUGAAAUAAACAACUUUUCACUUUCCUAAACACAAGGAAAACUCACAAUCCCAAACCAUAGAACAUAAAGCAUAUCUUCCAAAACCUGUGAAAUGCAAAUUAUUGAAGGGUGCCCAGAGUUGGUUCCCAUGUCCUUGGACCCUGAGCAAGAAACUCAUUUCCCCAAGAGUAAGUGACCCAGGGUUAAAAGGCACAUACAGUGACCCACUGAUUAUGACAACAUCAUCUAGCCCAGGGGCAGGAGAGUCCCUAUGGACUCAGUUUGACAUCAUGCAGUGAUGGGGUGG